GACGAACGCUGGCGGCGUGCCUAAUACAUGCAAGUAGAACGCUGAAGGAGGAGCUUGCUUCUCUGGAUGAGUUGCGAACGGGUGAGUAACGCGUAGGUAACCUGCCUGGUAGCGGGGGAUAACUAUUGGAAACGAUAGCUAAUACCGCAUAAGAGUAGAUGUCGCAUGACAUUUGCUUAAAAAGUGCAAUUGCAUCACUACUAGAUGGACCUGCGUUGUAUUAGCUAGUUGGUGAGGUAACGGCUCACCAAGGCAACGAUACAUAGUCGACCUGAUAGGGUGAUCGGCCCAACUGGGACUGGGACAACGCCCAAGCUCCUUCCGGGGGGCACAAGAGGGGAUCUUCGGCAAUGGACGGAAGGCUGGCCGGGCCAAGGCGGGUGAGUGGAGAAGGUUUUCGGAUCGUAAAGCUCUGUUGUAAGGGAAGAAAGAGUGUGGGAGUGGAAAGUUCACGCUGUGACGGUACCUUACCAGAAAGGGACGGCUAACUACGUG
rnacentral:rRNA from 1 species